UACGUAGGGUGCGAGCGUUAAUCGGAAUUACUGGGCGUAAAGCGUGCGCAGGUGGUUGUUUAAGACAGAUGUGAAAUCCCCGGGCUUAACCUGGGAACUGCGUUUGUGACUGGACAGCUAGAGUAUGGCAGAGGGGGGUGGAAUUCCACGUGUAGCAGUGAAAUGCGUAGAUAUGCGGAGGAACACCAAUGGCGAAGGCAAUCCCCUGGGCCGAUACUGACACUGAGGCGCGAAAGCGUGGGUAGCGAACAGG
rnacentral:rRNA from 1 species